rnacentral:rRNA from 1 species
UACGUAGGGUGCGAGCGUUAAUCGGAAUUACUGGGCGUAUAGCGCACGUAGGCGGCUUUGUAAGUUAGAGGUGAAAGCCCGGGGCUCAACUCCGGAACUGCCUUUAAGACUGCAUCGCUUGAAUCCAGGAGAGGUGAGUGGAAUUCCGAGUGUAGAGGUGAAAUUCGUAGAUAUUCGGAAGAACACCAGUGGCGAAGGCGGCUCACUGGACUGGUAUUGACGCUGAGGUGCGAAAGCGUGGGGAGCAAACAGG